AGUAGAGUGACGCAGUGGGAGCGUGCCGGGCCAGUAACCCAGAAGUCCGUGGAUCGAGACCACGCUCUGCUA